GGGGACCCGCAAGCGGUGGAUGAUGUGGAUUAAUUCGAUGCAACGCGAAAAACCUUACCUACCCUUGACAUGUACGGAAGACCGAAGAGAUUUGGUUGUGCUCGAAGGAAAACCGUAACACAGGUGCUGCAUGGCUGUCGUCAGCUCGUGUCGUGAGAUGUUGGGUUAAGUCCCGCAACGAGCGCAACCCUUGUCAUUAGUUGCUACAUUCAGUUGAGCACUCUAAUGAGACUGCCGGUGACAAACCGGAGGAAGGUGGGGAUGACGUCAAGUCCUCAUGGCCCUUAUGGGUAGGGCUUCACACGUCAUACAAUGGUACAUACAGAGGGCCGCCAACCCGCGAGGGGGAGCUAAUCCCAGAAAGUGUAUCGUAGUCCGGAUCGCAGUCUGCAACUCGACUGCGUGAAGUUGGAAUCGCUAGUAAUCGCGGAUCAGCAUGUCGCGGUGAAUACGUUCCCGGGUCUUGUACACACC
rnacentral:rRNA from 1 species